UUCACAACAACAAAGCGUUGAAUCACACGUCCAGGUCUUGACACCAAACAAAAAUCCCACAUUAGUCAAAACGUCAAUUUGAAACAGACAUAAGCUUAGUUUACAAGACGAUAAAUCUAGUAUAAUACUUCUUUGAGAACAGUUUAUCUAUUUCCAAUGACAAUCUGUCAUACAUGAAGCUUAAGUUUAAAGAGCAAAAAUUGUGCAAACAUAUAAAAUCCCACUCAAAGAACACAUAGCUUCAUCCGUCAAUUUAGAACAAUCAUUCAUCUCCACUAGCAAAAUUUCCUGCAAAAUAAGAUUCACUAAAGCGCGUGAGCAUAAGUUCACUACAAAUUAGAAGAUUCAAAUUCAAUUCAAUACGUAUAUGGACUGUAAUUAUAAUAUACUGUUAAAUUAGUGCUUUACAGUAGAACAUGAGAUUUCUUAGUUGGCACUAAGUUCAUAUUUGUCAAGUACAGAUAACAUGUAUGAUCUAGCACAGAUACGCCUAACUGUACAAACUAGAAACACAAGAGGGCCAGCAAAAAUAUCAUCGUGCAUCAAAUAUAUCAGGAAAACAACAUGUAUCUCUAGAAAAGGAAGCUCCAGGAAAACAUCAUUAAACAUUAUAGUAUAAUGAUGCAAAGAAGGAAUAGAGUGACAUAUAUCGACCAUCCAAACAUCCAAUAAUCUAGUAGGUUCCCCUAUAAACUGAAAAUAAAAUCAUGUUGAUAUUGAUAAAUCAUCGAUCAUUGUGAGCUGAGUUAACUAAAGACCGUGAGCCAGGUAAUGCAUGGAACAUGAAUUGGCAAAAAGGAACAUACCAUUUGGGACA
rnacentral:lncRNA from 1 species